UCUGUCUUUUGAUCACUGUUGCUUCAGGGACUAGAUGUCUUCUUCCUCUGAAGCGUUUCCUUGUUCAAUCCCAAAACGAUGGUAUUUUGGAUAUUUCUGAUGGGUUAAAUUAAGGGAUCACGUUGGCUUCUUGGCUCACUAGUUUUGCUUAGCAACUGAUUUGAAUCACCUCUGCUUUCUAAUAUUGGCAACUUAGUUGUAUUCAUCUAUAAUGGUGCAGAAACUUAAGCAAAAUUUUCCGAUCCGAUAAGCUACUCUUUGUAACAUGUUCCAGAUAAUGAUUUAAUCUCCAAUAUUUGUGCCAAGAGCUAAACUUUUCAGGACAGGGACCAAAGACUGUCAUGUAACACAUCGGAUGUGGGCCCAAUUUUGUGGAAGGUAGAUCCCAAUCAGAGUUGGCUUAAGCAUAGCUGUCAGGGAAACAAGGUGAUUCAAGGCGGUGGCCAGGGGCCUAGGCAUCGUUCAGGCACCCUAGACUUAACAUGCUGACCUGGGGUGAACCAAGAUUAGCCCAACAGCUCAGCCCAAGCCUAGUUGUCAAAUGUCAUACUUAGGCUGGGUUUAGGCCCAAGUCAACCUUAAAUCCCCUAGGCCCAGUUGGGGCUGAAGUUACUUCAGGCAGCAGAAAACUCCAAAAGCCAAAUUCAAAAUUGAACAUCCUUUUGGUUUUGGUUGACCGUGUUGUUAAAUGCUGUUGUGUAUUGGUUUGUCCUUGUUGUCAACACUGACAAAUGUGGCAGCGGAGUACAAUUGGCAAGUUGUGUCAGGUUUGGUGGUUUCAACAUGGGUCAACUUUGGGGGCAUUUUGGUCAUUUCAUAUGGGAGAUUUUGCUGGGCAUGUGGAGUUGGAUAGAAACAUUGUUGGGCAUGUUGAUGUGUUGUCAUUGUUGGCAACCCUCUUGGUGACAACCUACACGUAGUGAUGAUAUGUGUUUGGUGGUGUUGGAGAGUUUGGGGUGGUGCAGUAGCAGCAACUUCAUGGGGUUUUUGACCUAUCCUUUGGUUGAUUCUUGUAGAAUCUCAAAACAUUAGAAAGGAAGACCUUUGAGUCAGCUUUUGAUGAGUUAAAGUUUCACAUCAAUCUGACACUGGAAUUGGAAGUUAUGGAAAAAACAUCCGACUUGAUCUAUUCUAUGUUUUUUUUUGUGUCAUUCAGAUUCAAGGUCAGUUUUGUGGUCCUUGCAUUGUUCCUUUGUUAAGGUGUAUUGAUGAUAAAUGUAGUUUUUCGAGUUUUCUGUACGUAGGAAAAUGAAUCAUGUCAAUCGGAGUUGGGAUGGAGAAUAUAUUGUUGUUUUCGUACAAGUACGCACUGAUCAUAAUUGACAACGUGCCGUAGUUGAGUGACAAUGUUUCAUUGGCGAGCCAGGCUGUCCUAGUGUUGAGUUUUUUGUCUAAGAAGCUCGACAACUAGAAGAUUCUGCCUGACACUCAAAGUGGGGGUCCCUAGAUAAUGAGCCAUUGUUGAGGGAUGGCCCCUCUUUGUCUAGUUGGGCCAUUUGAGUGGCGAGUGCUGUCAUCUUGUGACAUUUUCAGUUCAUACGACUUUUGAUCAAAUUUUGAGCAGGUUACAGGCCGAAUUAGAAGAAUUCUACUUCUAGGAAACUUGGAGAUCUGUGAGUCUACUUUCAGAUGCAAAAUAGAAUUGGCCCGAUUAGAGAUGUACAUAAGGAGUUAUGACCUUUGGAUUGAGCAAAGGUCAAUCUACUAGAGUGGGUUCCAGUCUGAACUGGGUGGUUAGACCAUGCAUGAAAUUGGUGCUUUUUGUUAGCCUUAUAAAUUAUGUUUUUAGGGAUUCAUUUAUUGUGCCUUAAAGUGCAAGAAGCGAGUAAAGAGAGGUUAGAGUCAUCUCAAGAGAAAAGAUGAGAGGGAAGAAGGAAGCUUGUGGUUACAUUGAAGUGUCUCCAACAACCAUUGUUUAGCACCAUUAACUUGUGUUGAAGUCUAUUGAAGGUUGGUUGGGUGUAUAAAAGCUUCAUUAAAGUGUCAUUGUAAGAAAGGCAAGGAAGAGAAGAAAAGAAGAGAGAGAGAAGAAGAGGUCCCCACUUGCUUGUAGUAACUUGAAGAUUCAAGUUCUCCACCGCGUUGGGUUAGUUGAAGAUUCCAUUGAUGUCAUAAGAUCCUAUCUGAGUAUCAAGAUCAAGUUUGGGACAUAUUGUAAGCAUCUCUACCUUUAGGUAGUUUAACUUUGAGAUUUGUAGUGUGUAGACCAAGGUGCUUGACAAAAAGCCUAGACAAGGUUGAGCUUGUAUUUGGGGCAUCAUUAUAUAAGCCCAUUAUAUAUAUUUUUGGGGGGGUGUUUGGUGGGUGGCGAACAUGGGAGUUGUUGCUCCUUGGUAGUUGCAUCUACCAUUUUCGGCAUUGUAGUGCCCUCCCAGUUAUAUGGUAGGUAAGUUAGGGUAGGUGCCCUUGUCAGUUGCAAUUGACUAAAAGUAGCAUGUCGAGCAACAUAUGAUGCCCUUAUUGUCAUUACUCCGUGGAUGUAGGCGACUUUCCAAACCACAUAUAUUUUGUCUCGUGGAUUGCAUGUGUUAUUUGGAGUGUGUUUGCUGCAGGAUGGGUGUGCACACUAGGUAGACCUUGCCACAGGGUUGUAUGGCCUGAUGUGGUUGAGAGGCCAGGUGUAUUACACGACCUGUAUGUGCCGAGCAUCAUCAACAAUGUAGUAGGGCCGUAAAAGGAAAGAAUUUGUUACAUUGAUUUACCCCCUCAGUGUCAGGCGUAGUUCAACAAAGGCAACGACAUUGGUAAUGAGUAAUGGACAGUGGCGAAGGUACUAGGCUCUAGGCAGUACCGGGGGGGCAACAAAAACUGUUGGGGUCACCUAACGGUGCUGGUGAGGGAAGCAGUAGCCUUGGGGGUGCUGGCAGUGAUCGUGAGGGCCAUAAGAGAGUCAAACAAUGGAGAGGGUUGUAGCAGGGUCGGCAACAAUGGUAGGGGCCGUUAGGGGCCUAGUCGCAAAGGGAAAGGACCACUAGGGGCCUGGUAAUGAGGGCGAGGGGCAAGGUUCUAAAUCUCGGGUUUCGACCCAGAUUUUGGUCAAAACCAUCAAAAUUCCGUGGAAAAUAGGGAUUUUUUCCUGGCUUUGUGGAAACCAUGGUUUCAACCCCCAAACAUUUUUUUUGUCUAAUUUUGUGUACAUCCUAUUUUUUAAGAAUAAGAUCCACCAUGCCCACCACCAUAUCCCGAUGACCCCGUGCUCUCGAAAGAUGGACCACCAACAUAUACACCAUACGAUAGGACCCAUAAUGUGAUGCUGAUCCAACACUCCCACGGCCACUAUCACCAUGAUGUGCUGGAUUAGGGCUCAAGUUUAUGAGUUAUGGUGCACGCUAAUGGCCUAGAUCCUUUACUCCCUCCCAAACUCAUGGUUUUUAUUGUGCCAGACUAGCCCGAUAUAUCCAUGCCCAUGCCUAUACCCAUCCCAGUUGCCUCCUCAUCAGGUUUGAACUGCUGGCUUGGUCCUCGAGUGUAGCCUUUUGGUUGUCAUGAACCGUUAUGUGGCAUGGGGUGAACUUAGUCUCCCCUGUGAAUCUAAUUGGCUUUGGUUGUGGAUCCAGGUCUUGAUGCAUCAUCAUCAUCAUCAUCAUCAUCAUCAUCAUCAUCAUCAUCAUCAUGCUUUUGGUCGGGUCAAGUGUUUGAGUGGCAAACGAUGAAGGUGACCACUGCUCUUCAUCAUCAUUUCCAGUACCAGGGUGGGGCUCCAAUGGAUGUGGUGUCUGUGAGUGAACUCUGCCCUCUCUCUCUAGAUAGUUGUCAACGUUAGCAUCCAUAUGUGAAGCAAAUCUAACUGUUGGGUUGACCCCCAGGCUCAUCUAAAAGUGGCUCACCUCGAUCUUUAACCCACUCAUAAAGGGGAUCUUCCUCAUCUUCAUCCAUAUGGAAGAUUUUGGCAAGCUUGACUGGGCUAUUAUCAUUCUCCAUGCCAAGGCGUAUGUGCUCUUCUUUUAAUCUCAUAUUAUAAUGCACAUACACUAGGUCCUCCAGCCUCUUAGCACACAAUCAAUUCCGUCUCUUAGAGUGUAUGAGGUUGAACGUACUCCAAUUGCGCUUGCACCCUGUGGUGGAACAUGCCUGAGAAAGCAUUUUAAUUUCUACUUUGGAGUUUGGACAGGUUGGGUGAUGGCGCAUAUCUAAAUAUGAACCAAAAGACUGAGGUUAUUGGACCAACCAGCAGCAAUGCCGUCCCGACUUGCAACAGUUGCUCCGCGGCCGAAACUCCCAGUACCUUCUUUGAAAGCUUUCAUCUGUAUGCAAUUUAGUGUUUGGUACCAAUGUUAGCAACUUAGCAUCGAUACCCUAAGUUUUAUUUUAUUUUUUUUUUUAUGAAUAAAUAUUGCAUUAAAAAGGGGAAAGAAAGAGAGGGGAAACCAAGCCCACGAGGCAAUGACAAUCAAAACAAAAGAAAGGGGAGGGGCAAGGGGGCAAAGUACGGCUAACUAGGUGCGACUAGCACCUCAAGGGGGUGACAAAGACAAAUAGACUAAGGGGGAUACAAAUCAUCAUGGGGAUGGGGAGAAGCUAAAAAAGAGGAGAGACCAACAAUGAGCCUGUUCCUUUAGGAGUUCCUGACAGGUUUCUGUUUGGGAGAAGUAAGUUUGGAGCGAACAUCAAAAUAAAUGGCAUUCCAAUUUUUAUCUGAUCAUAAGACAGGGAGUUGGCCAUCCAUCUACGAAUAUUCCGUUUUAUCCAAAUGUGGUCAAUAGUAGUGCAAAAAGUAAGGUUGCCCGCAGUGUCAUAGAUAGAGGUACUUGAGAAGGUCAUGUCAAUCCAGAUCCAUUUCCUAUUAAAAGGCAAAAUGGGUCUCCUAGAAGGCCAACAAUGGCAAAAGACUUUUCUCCAGAUAGCGGAUGAGAGGGGGUAGUUAAAGGAGAGGCGGUUGAUAUCUUCAAUAUUGUUCCAGCAGAGACAACAAGAAGGGGAGGCUUGGAUGUGGUGAUGGAUGAGAAAGGAUUGGGCUAGGAGACAGUCCUUUAGGGCUCACUAGGUGGUGAAACUAUGAUGGGGGAUGUGGCCUUUGAACUAAGCAACAUUGUGCCAAGGGACUCUAGUGGCAGUGGAAUUGAUAAGGCUCCAGGCGGAGGCAGAGGAGAAGCGGCCAUUGGGAAGAAGGAUUCCAUGAAAUCCUGUCCUCACGGGCAUCCCUGUGUGUGUGUGUGGGGGGGUAGAUCUGCCCAGAUAUCAGCUAGGGAUGGGGAUGUGAGAGUGUACCAAAUAUCAUUUGAGAUGAUGGAUUCAACAAUGGCAUUUUCGGGAAUUCCAGAGGAGUACACAGUUUGGGGGCUGAAAAUGGAGAGGAGACUAGUAGGGUGCCAUUUAUCCAAUCAGAAGUAGUUGGAAAACCCAUUACUGAUGGAGGAGUAGAUGGCAUUGAGGGCAAGAGGUCUGAGGUUGAGGAUGUUUCUCCAGACCCACGAGGCAUCAGAAGGAGAGUAUCCAAAUGGAAUUCUUUUUAAGGAGAGAGGAGUAUAUCUAGUUGACCAGGAUACAAUUGUGCUUGGAGACAUUCCAUGUGAGCUUGAGGGUGCCAGCUUCGAUGUUACCAUUGACUUUUCUCAAACCUAGACCUCCCUCAGUUUUGGGGAGGCAGAUAGAGGCCCAUCUAAGAGGGUGAACUAUGAAGGAAUUUGGACUGGUCUGUGCCUUUCCAAAGGAAUGCAUGAAGGAUGGAUUCGAUGGCUUUGGAGAUAGAAACAGGAAGAGAGAAGACACCCAUCCAGAAAAGGUAUAUAGAUUGAAUCACAGAUCUAGCAAGGAUAAGGAGGCCCAUGUAAGGUAGAAGCCUUCCUUUCCAAAGGAGCCUUUUCCUCACAAGCUCAAGCAUGGGGGAGCAAUGAUGGGCAGAUAGUCUGGACGAAAUGAGGGGAAGCCCCAGGUACUUGACCGGUAGGGAGCCUAGGGAGAAAGCCAGAGAUCUGAAGGAGGGUAUCUUUAAUAGAGUUCGAGACUCCAGCAAGAAAGAUAUAGGACUUGGCUAAGUUGAUGCAGAGGCUAGAGAGGGUUCCAAAGGAAUUUAGGGAGGAAAUGAUGGAGGAGAUGGAAAGAGAGUCUGCUUUGGAGAAGAUAAUGAGGUCAUCAUCAAAGGUAAGGUGAGUGAGACCAUAGAUUUGAUUUUGGGGAUGGGAGUGAUGAGGUGAAGGUCAGUUGCCGAUUGGAUGGAUCUAGAGAGGACCUCGAGAGCGAGGGUGAAGAGGGGGGGAGAGAGCGCAACCUUGCCUGAUACCCACAGAGGAGUUAAAGUAUCCAGCCAGACCACCAUUAACAAGGAUAGAAAACAUGGGGGUGGAGAUGCAAGAGUGAAUCCAAUGUAUGAAGGCAAGGGGAAGGACAUCUGACUAAGGAGUAAGGACCUUGGAAAUGAAAUCCCAAUGAAUGGAAUCAAAGGCUUUAUGAAUAUCAUUCUUGAGGAGGGCAGCAACAGAGUUGGAUUUUUUAUGAAAUCCUCUAACCACCUCAUGGCAUAGAAUGAUGUUAUCUGAAAUGCUUCUACUAGCAAUGAAAUCAGAUUGAUUAGGGCUGACUGGAGAGUCCACAACCGGUUGAAUUCAAUUGGCGAGGAUUUUGGCGAUGAACUUGUAGAUGAGGUUACAAAGGGCGAUAGGGCGGAAGUCAGCCAUAGAGGAGACUCCCUCAUGCUUGGGGAUGAGGCAGAGGAAAGUGUGGUUAACACCUUUGAUCUGAGAGAGAUUGAAAAAGAAGGUUUGGAGAUGAGCAGAGGGAUGAAGUUGGAAUUGGAUCUAGCUUUGAGGGAGCGAUGGGAAAAGGCAGAGUUGGAAUAUCCAAGCUCCAACCAUUUAAUUCUAGAUUUUUGCCGGAGAAAAAUCUAAUCCUGGGCAAGGAGGGAAGAGAACUCAAGGGCAGCAGCCUUUUCUUCCUCAACAAGAGAAGGAUUGAGAGGGUCCAAUUGGAGAGAGGAUUGGAUGGUUCGGAGAUAAUCUUUGCUCAAGGAAACUCUAUUGGAGAUGUCAUUGAAGGUGGAAUGGUUCUAGGAUUUGAGGGCAAUCUUGACAUUUCUGAGCUUCCUGGAAAAGGCAAUAAGAGGAGAGGAGUAGGCUUGGACAGGCAGGCUCCGAGCCUGACGAACAAUAGAGAGGAAGCUUUGGUGAAGAGUCCACAUAUCAAAGAAUUUGAAAGGUUUGGGCCUAAAGAAUAUGUAGGGAUUAACAUAGAGGGAGAUUGGGGAAUGGUCAGAGAUGUUGGGGAGAUCAAAGGUAGCAUGAGACGAGGGGAAGGAGGUCAUCUAGGAUUCGUUGACCAGAACACUAUCAUGUUUACUAGCUUUUCUUCUAGAGUCAAAUCUAUGGUUUUGCCAUGUGAAAUCGGCUCGAGACCAUCUGAGGUCAUGCUCCCCAAUGUUAUCGAUCAGAGAUGUGUUGUUUGGUGCUCCAUUUUCCCACUGAGGCCGAACCUAUACCUAUGCUCGAGAGAUGGCUGUUUAUACAUUGAUAAGGGAUGUAUGGAUUCUUGAGAAGAGAGGAGCCAUGGUGGUCCCCUUUGGACCGCCCGGAUCCCACGAGUGAAUAGAAAGUACUAAAGGAGCCCACCGCAGAAUAGUCAAUGGGGGCUCCGCCCAACUUUUAUAGUAGUUCUGACCAUAUUGAAAUCCCCUGCAAGGCCCUACGGGAGGGAGCCCAUAUUGGGAGCAAAAUACCACGGGUCAUUCGAGAGAUCUUCUCUAUUUGUGGCACGAUUGAAGUCAUAAAUCACAGAGAGGAUGUAAAUGUUGGAGCCGGAUAGAUCGGAGAUAGAGAGAUGGAUCGCUUGGGA